CCUACGGGGGGCAGCAGUGGGGAAUAUUGGACAAUGGGGGGAACCCUGAUCCAGCCAUGCCGCGUGUGUGAAGAAGGCCCUCGGGUUGUAAAGCACUUUCAGUGAGGAAGAACGCCUGGUGGUUAAUACCCAUCAGGAAAGACAUCACUCACAGAAGAAGCACCGGCUAACUCCGUGCCAGCAGCCGCGGUAAUACGGAGGGUGCGAGCGUUAAUCGGAAUUACUGGGCGUAAAGCGCGCGUAGGUGGCUUGAUAAGCCGGUUGUGAAGGCCCCGGGCUCAACCUGGGAACGGCAUCCGGAACUGUCAAGCUAGAGUGCAGGAGAGGAAGGUAGAAUUCCCGGUGUAGCGGUGAAAUGCGUAGAGAUCGGGAGGAAUACCAGUGGCGAAGGCGGCCUUCUGGACUGACACUGACACUGAGGUGCGAAAGCGUGGGUAGCAAACAGGAUUAGAUACCCUAGUAGUC
rnacentral:rRNA from 1 species